CCGACCGCGGACGGACGCACAGACCUACAAACCCGCAAGCCUGGGAACCGGCUGUGGGAUCCCGCGCGCCGCCCCACCUAAGGGGUUAGCCACCUCGCCAUGAAGCCCCGCACCUGCUGAACUAGGAGCGCCCGAGGAUGUCUGUCCUGAGAAAGUAACUGCAUUUCUAGAAGUCCUCUCUGCAUACAACAAACCCUGAGAGGAUCCAAAGUGUCUGCAGGAUUCUCAGAGACUGGGGAGAACUCGUGGCCAACAAUAUGGGGUUUCAUGGUCCUUUGUGACCGGCCAGAUACUUCUGCACUCAUCAAUGCCUGUGGAGGCUUUCCCACCAUCUGAGGCCCGGCCCUAGGACUGUGGUUUCACACCAGCCAGCGAACCCUCAGCCUGCGCCCCGCCAGCCACAAUGGGAACGGCUCAGGUUCUGCCCGGCAUCCUGCAGAAGCACUGCUGCAUCCUACCAGACAGGAACACAGGUACGGCCACCUUCUUUCUGCACUUUGAGAUCACAGGUUGUGAACCAGUGGCAGCUUUGAGAGAAGCGAUGCCGAUGGUAGACGUUUUGUGGGUGUUUUUUAGUUGAUGUUUUUAGUACUUUGUUAUUUAUUAACUGAAAGAAGC
rnacentral:lncRNA from 1 species